UAACACAUGCAAGUCGAGCGGAAACGAAGAGGUGCUUGCACCUCUGGCGUCGAGCGGCGGACGGGUGAGUAAUGCUUGGGAAUAUGCCUUAUGGUGGGGGACAACAGUUGGAAACGACUGCUAAUACCGCAUGAUGUCUACGGACCAAAGUGGGGGACCUUCGGGCCUCACGCCAUAAGAUUAGCCCAAGUGGGAUUAGCUAGUUGGUGAGGUAAUGGCUCACCAAGGCGACGAUCCCUAGCUGGUUUGAGAGGAUGAUCAGCCACACUGGGACUGAGACACGGCCCAGACUCCUACGGGAGGCAGCAGUGGGGAAUAUUGCACAAUGGGCGCAAGCCUGAUGCAGCCAUGCCGCGUGUGUGAAGAAGGCCUUCGGGUUGUAAAGCACUUUCAGUAAGGAGGAAAGGUUAAGUGUUAAUAGCACUUAGCUGUGACGUUACUUACAGAAGAAGCACCGGCUAACUCCGUGCCAGCAGCCGCGGUAAUACGGAGGGUGCGAGCGUUAAUCGGAGUUACUGGGCGUAAAGCGUACGCAGGCGGUUUGUUAAGCGAGAUGUGAAAGCCCCG
rnacentral:rRNA from 1 species